GCUGGGUGCAGUGGUGCAUGCCUGUAAUCCCAGCAGCUCAGGAGGCUGAGGGAGGAGGAUCGAGAGUUCAGAGUCAGCCUCAGCAACCUGCGAGGCACUAAGCAACUCAGUGAGACCCUGUCUCUA
rnacentral:sRNA from 1 species